rnacentral:rRNA from 1 species
AGUGAACGCUGGCGGCGUGCCUAAUACAUGCAAGUCGAACGGAGUGACUGACGGACGAGUAAUGAAUAGCUAAUCUGCCCUACACUAGAGGACAACAAUUGGAAACGACCGCUAAUAAUCUAUAGUGUAGGUUGAGGCUAUAUUGUAUCAGCUAGUUGGUUAGGUAAUGGCUCACCAAGGCUAUGACGGAUAACUUGUCUGAGAGGAUGAUCAGUGACACUGGAACUGGGACGCGGUCCAGAAUCCUACGGGAUGGAGGAGUAUGGGAUAGUGCUCAAUGGGGGAAGCCCUGAAGCAGUAACGGCGCGUGGGGUAUGACACUUUUCAGAAAGUAAACUCCUUUUGUUAGGGAAACGGUACCUAACGAAUAAGCACCGGCUAACUCCGUGCCAGCAGCCGCGGUAAUUC